UCCCUAGUGGCUCAGCUGGUAAAGAAUCUGCAUGCAAUGCAGGAGACCUAGGUUCAAUCCCUGGGUUGGGAU
rnacentral:tRNA from 1 species